UACAGAGGGUGCAAGCGUUAAUCGGAAUUACUGGGCGUAAAGCGUGCGUAGACGGUAGCGUAAGUCGGGUGUGAAAGCCCGGGCUCAACCUGGGAAUUGCAUUCGAGACUGCUCUGCUAGGUGCGGAAGAGGGAAGCGGAAUUUCCGGUGUAGCGGUGAAAUGCGUAGAUAUCGGAAGGAACACCAGUGGCGAAAGCGGCUUCCUGGUCCAGCACCGACGUUCAGGCACGAAAGCGUGGGGAGCAAACAGG
rnacentral:rRNA from 1 species